UUAAGUUCAGCGGGUAUCCCUACCUGAUCCGAGGUCAAACUAUAGAGGGCUUGCUGGACGCCGAUCCACCGUGGCUUCGGGAAGCGCAAAUGUGCUGCGCUAGAAGCUGGCACGACCGCUGCCAAUAGCUUUAGGGCGAGUCCACGCACGGGGGCGGGACAGACACCCAACACCAAGCAGAGCUUGAGGGUGAUAAUGAC
rnacentral:misc_RNA from 1 species